rnacentral:lncRNA from 1 species
AAAGUUAUAUGCAAUACAAUUGAAAUAUUUAAAUUUGAGUCAUAGCGUAUCUAUCCUAGGAAACACAAAAAGUUGUUUUAUACAGCAAAUAAAUAAUCUCCCCUCCAUCUCCUUUUCUAUUUAUGUUGGGUGGGGUUAGUAUUAAAGGGUGAUUCUGAUUUGGCUUCAAAUCAAGUAUCACUAUAAUGUCCUUCCAGAUCCAGAACAGAGAUCUCAGGUGCCCAAUAUUCGGCAGAGCUUACUUCCUCCAGAGGUUGCCUGGGCAGUUGUGCAGAUCCAUCGUGAACCAGUUAUAGAGGUGCCAGUGUGUCCUUCUUGCAGCCCUAACCACUCCAGAGGCCCUGUCAGCUUCCCUAGAUGUUCUCCCAUCACAAAGCCUUUGCUGCUUCAGGUACUUUGUAUAUCUUACUCCAUGAAAGGAAUAACUGCAAAGUCUUCUACUUCUAGAGAAUAGGAAUUCAUAACAUAAAGAAGAUUACCAGUUCUCACUUAUCCAGCGUAGUAUUUAGGUAGGUGAUCUCAAG